rnacentral:rRNA from 1 species
GACGAACGCUGGCGGCGUGCUUAACACAUGCAAGUCGAACGGAAAGGCCCUGCUUUUGUGGGGUGCUCGAGUGGCGAACGGGUGAGUAACACGUGAGUAUCCUGCCCUUAACUUUGGGAUAACUUCAGGAAACUGGGGCUAAUACCGGAUAGGAGCUCCUGCUGCAUGGUGGGGGUUGGAAAGUUUCGGCGGUUGGGGAUGGACUCGCGGCUUAUCAGCUUGUUGGUGGGGUAGUGGCUUACCAAGGCUUUGACGGGUAGCCGGCCUGAGAGGGUGACCGGCCACAUUGGGACUGAGAUACGGCCCAGACUCCUACGGGAGGCAGCAGUGGGGAAUAUUGCACAAUGGGCGGAAGCCUGAUGCAGCAACGCCGCGUGCGGGAUGACGGCCUUCGGGUUGUAAACCGCUUUCGCCUGUGACGAAGCGUGAGUGACGGUAAUGGGUAAAGAAGCACCGGCUAACUACGUG